GUGGCGGGCCGCCACACCAAAAUAAAAGCCACCACGCCUUGCAAAUGCGAUUCUUUUUUUUUUUUUUUUUUUUAAGAUUUAAAGAUCCAUUCUAAUUUUUAAUUAGUAUAAUUUAACAUGACUUCUAAAUGAAUAUAUGAAGCUCAUUUGUACACACGAUUUACCAUAAGUCGUCUGAAAUAGCAUGUAAAAUACAAAUUGUUCCUUUACAUGCUUUAUUUUGAAAAGCGUAUCAUUUCUAUUGAAAGCUUGCGGCUGGUACGUCGGCUCGGCGCAGAAAUGGAAAUCGGGAGACGAAACACAGAAAGGCAUUUGAAGUUAAUGAAUGUACUUCUGGUUUAAAACUGUGAAAAUGACCUUAAUAUACUGACAUUGACGUAACGUUUAAGUUCAUUAUGGCAUGUUUUUGAUACGAAUCGGUCGCGUCCUACUCCUAGCAUAGCAUUUGUUCAUAUUUGUUCGGCGCUGACGUCACUCGUUGUUAUUGAUGUACAGUAUUUUGGAAAGAGAAAAGUUCCUGAGGACGAGGGUCCGCUAACAAAGUGACGAUUAUUGUUUGAUGAUUUAGACCGUCAUGUUCAGAAAUAUUUAAUGAGCGUCCGAGGCUAAUUAAAUAUUUCGGAACGUACCGGAGGGCUCAUGCUCUCAGGUGCUCUUCAUUUGCGAAUGUAUUGGCUCUCAUGUUCGGAGGACUAGAAAUAACCAAAUGGUUAUGGCAAGCGUAGUAUUCUAAUGUUGAGAUAAGGUUUUCAAGAACUGAAUGAGACCAGAUAGCACAUAGAGAGGCAGAUCAGGAUGGCGCAGAGUCCAGGGUAGGAGAAGUAAGCAAAAAAACCAAACAGGAAAUCUAGCUGGACCCAACAUGGACAAAAAUGGCAAAGUUCAAGCUGUGGCUGUACCACAAAAAUCAAGAAUAUGGACCAGGUCAGCAUGAUGGCACCACAGACUGAUGAAUGGGGAGUGCUGCUGACAGCAACCGUCCGCCAUUGCGUUGACAGUUACCAUCUCAACAGUGAACUGUGAGAUUUUUCUUCAAUGACCUGAGUAAAGACAGACUUGAGGAACAGGUGGACCAUCUUGUAGCAUGCCUCACAUUGACUAAUAAAUGGAUCACCUAUUGCCGACCCCCCCCCCCCCUUUUUUUUUUUUUUAAGUCCAGGAAAAUCAAGUGUUCCCAGGCAGGAUGCAAACUUUGCAAAUAGAUCUUUGUUAUGGUUCUUGAAAAAAAUAAAUAAUAAAAUUAAAAAACAAUUUUAAAAAUUCUUAUUUGUCAUGAUACGAAACAAAUUCGCCGCGGCACAACAUGAUGGGGUUGUCCGACUCCGACGCAGUCCACCACCACCACAGCUUCAAAAA